rnacentral:rRNA from 1 species
ACUCCUACGGGAGGCAGCAGUGGGGAAUAUUGCACAAUGGGGGAAACCCUGAUGCAGCCAUGCCGCGUGUGUGAAAAGGCCUUCGGGUUGUAAAGCACUUUCAGUAGGGAGGAAGGUAGUGUAGUUAACACCUGCACUAUUUGACGUUACCUACAGAAGAAGCACCGGCUAACUCCGUGCCAGCCAGCNCGGUAAUACGGAGGGUGCGAGCGUUAAUCGGAAUUACUGGGCGUAAAGCGCAUGCAGGCGGCCUGUUAAGUCAGAUGUGAAAGCCCGGGGCUUAACCUCGGAAUUGCAUUUGAAACUGGUAGGCUAGAGUCUUGUAGA